CAGUAGCCGGGUAAUACGUAGGGGGCAAGUGUUGUCCGGAAUUAUUGGGCGUAAAGCGCGCGCAGGCGGUUUUUUAAGUCUGGUGUCUAAGUGCGGGGCUCAACCCCGUGACGCACUGGAAACUGGGAGACUUGAGUGCAGAAGAGGAGAGCGGAAUUCCACUUGUAGCGGUGAAAUUCGUAGAUAUUCGCAGGAACACCAGUGGCGAAGGCGGCUCACUGGCUCGAUACUGACGCUGAGGUGCGAAAACGUGGGGAGCAAACAGGAUUAGAUACCCCCGUAGUCCCUGUCUCUUAUACAC
rnacentral:rRNA from 1 species